rnacentral:rRNA from 1 species
GUCCGCAACGAGCGCAACCCUUGUUUGUAGUUGCCAUCAGGUCAAGCUGGGCACUCUACGGAGACUGUCGGCGAAAAGCCGGAGGAAGGUGGGGAUGACGUCAAGUCCUCAUGGCCUUUAUGUCCCGGGCUACACACGUGCUACAAUGGGCGGAACAGAGGGCAGCGAACCUGUGAAGGCUAGCGAAUCCCAGAAAUCCGCUCUCAGUUCGGAUUGCAGUCUGCAACUCGACUGCAUGAAGUUGGAAUCGCUAGUAAUCGCGGAUCAAAACGCCGCGGUGAAUACGUUCCCGGGCCUUGUACACACCGCCCGUCACAUCAC